GUGUUUAUUUAUAGUGCCAUUCCGGUACCUUCCGAAGCUAUCUGUCUGAUCCUUUUAGGGAUCAAUUGCAAAGAGACCUUGGUAUUGGGCAGCUUUUUAGUCAUUUAAUGCAAAUCGCCACACUGCUUUGCAGGUAAUUUUGAGUGUGGAAAUCCAGAGAAUCUAAAAAGCAAAUGCAUUCCUGUUAUGGAAGCCCAAGAAUAUAUAGCCAAUGUGACCAGCAGCUCCUCCGCCAAGUUUGAAGCCGCACUGACCUGGAUACUGAGCAGUAACAAGGACGUGGGCAUCUGGUUGAAAGGAGAAGACCAGUCUGAAUUGGUGACGACGGUGGACAAGGUGGUCUGCCUGGAAUCUGCCCGCCCCCGCAUGGGUGUUGGCUGCCGCCUGAGCCGGGCCCUGCUCACUGCUGUCACCAACGUGCUCAUCUUCUUCUGGUGCUUGGCUUUUUUGUGGGGGCUCCUAAUUCUCCUAAAAUAUCGGUGGCGAAAGUUAGAAGAGGAGGAACAAGCCAUGUAUGAGAUGGUGAAGAAGAUUAUAGACGUGGUCCAGGACCAUUACGUGGACUGGGAGCAGGACAUGGAGC
rnacentral:sRNA from 1 species